rnacentral:rRNA from 1 species
GAGUUUGAUCCUGGCUCAGGACGAACGCUGGCGGCGUGCUUAACACAUGCAAGUCGAACGGAAAGGCCCUGCUUUUGUGGGGUGCUCGAGUGGCGAACGGGUGAGUAACACGUGAGUAACCUGCCCUUGACUUUGGGAUAACUUCAGGAAACUGGGGCUAAUACCGGAUAGGAGCUCCUGCUGCAUGGUGGGGGUUGGAAAGUUUCGGCGGUUGGGGAUGGACUCGCGGCUUAUCAGCUUGUUGGUGGGGUAGUGGCUUACCAAGGCUUUGACGGGUAGCCGGCCUGAGAGGGUGACCGGCCACAUUGGGACUGAGAUACGGCCCAGACUCCUACGGGAGGCAGCAGUGGGGAAUAUUGCACAAUGGGCGGAAGCCUGAUGCAGCAACGCCGCGUGCGGGAUGACGGCCUUCGGGUUGUAAACCGCUUUCGCCUGUGACGAAGCGUGAGUGACGGUAAUGGGUAAAGAAGCACCGGCUAACUACGUGCCAGCAGCCGCGG